rnacentral:lncRNA from 1 species
CAAAAACGCAAACUUUCGACUAAUUUUUAACUAUUUUUGAAAAUUUAAGGUAGCUCUAUAGGUACCUUAGACUUAAGUGUUAUCUUAGGCGUUUCCUUAGUAUAAGGAGUUUUAUGCAUACCACUUAAGUUUUGUGGGCGUGACUUAAAACAACUAAGAUUUUACUUAGGAAAUACUUAGUUUAAGAUUUUUUAUGCAUACCACUUAGAUAAAAAGGGCGGAGUUUCCUUAACUUAAGUGUUUACUAAGGAAAAUCUUAACUUAAGUAGCUUUAUGCAUACGGGCCCUGGUUUUAAGAGAUAAAAAAGACAAUUUGUAUUCUACACUAAAUUUGUUACCUGCUGUUUACAUUUGAAACACCCUAUAUAAUGUUAUAGAGUUGAAUAAUGCAUCUCGCAUAUCUUUGUUACAUCAUUCAGGCAUUUUGUGAAAAUGACUUUAUAAAAGUGCAACUUUUCCUUUUACAGUAUUUUGUUAUGAAUUCAUGUUUUGUAUAUAUUUCUUGGAAAGUUUAAUCUAGGCAAAAAAACCUGCAUAUUAUAAAUGAAUGUAAUUCCGUCUAUCCCCUCCAUGUACAAUAUACAUACAAACUAGAAGCCUGAAAAAAACAUAUUUAGAAAUACACUUGGUAUUGAACAACUGCUAUGAUUUUGUUGGGAAAUGUCUCAUUUUGAAAUUAUAUGAUAUACAGUGAUAUAAUGGUACACACUAGAAAUUCAAUAAUUGAAGUUUAAUUGCAAUUUCUCAGGAUACUGAUCAUACAGUGGUAGUGUUUAAUUUAGGUUCCAAUAAAAAUUCUAAGGUAAUAACCAUUGUGAUGAAAUCCCUGUUAUUAAAAUUGUAAAUAAAGAGAGAUAUGAUAUAUGAAGUUUCUUACUUUUUAGUUCAACUGACACAACAGGUCAAGUGAGCUAUGGGCAUACCUUUUUGCAAAAUCUCCUUUGAACCUACUGGGCCAAC